AAGUCGUAACAAGGUUUCCGUAGGUGAACCUGCGGAAGGAUCAUUAACACGUAUCCACGUAUCAACCAACCGCGAACUUGUUCUCACCUCUCCCUGCCGGUUACAUGAAUUGGACAAUAGAGUGUGCAUUUUAAUGAUGGGGGUUACGGCCCGAAUGCACGCACUACCACCUGUCCGCUACCAGGCUGCUUCAUUGCGGCACGCGGCUAACAAUUGUAGUAACAGUCAGGCCAACCUUCUGCUAUUCGUUUCGUACCGUCACUUCGGGCGGAUAGUGGGAAACACACACACACACCUAUUUCACACCCUUUUUGCUAGUUGACUUUUAUAUGUCGUCUUCGGCGCGGUACGCUAGUACUGCACUGAAACACACGUUUAUUAUUUGAACGUUAAAAUUACAACUCUUAGCAAUGGAUAUCUUGGUUCUC
rnacentral:misc_RNA from 1 species